CAAAUCGCCAAGAGAGGGCAAGGGUAGCUUUAGUCUUUAUCAUUUAUCACAUACUAGGACAUCGCUUAUCCCACUACCUAGAUGGGAAUAACCCGGCAGCACCGUUAGAAAAAUUAUCACCUACUCCAUUGUUAAGAUUAGCUCCUUUCAAUUCGUGAACCCUAAACUGUCUUGAUGAAACCCUAACUUCUUUUCAAGUUUCAAUGAAGUAUCCGGAGAUGGAUGAAACUUUGCUUUCUAUUCUUCUAGAUAUGUUUCUUGCUGGGAGAAGCUGAGCUUCUUGAUUCAGUAGGAACUCACAAGAGAUUAUCCAUGAUUAACGGACCAAACAACAUUCCGGUUCUUUGUGCACUCACCUUCUGCAGCUCUAAAUGCUACUUUACCUGAUUAGCUGUUGUGAGUCCUCCACGAAGAUUCUUUGGUGCUAUUUCAGCUAUGAACACAGGUAGGUGGAGAAGGGAGUAGCUAGAAGUACCAGCUAGCAAAAUUGGUAGUGUUCGUUGUUGAUGGCAACUUAAACCUGGUUCCAGUUCCCCCGUUCAGAAAAAAAAAAAAAAA